UCCCCAGACUCCUACGGGAGGCAGCAGUGAGGAAUAUUGGUCAAUGGCCGGAAGGCUGAACCAGCCAAGCCGCGUGAGGGAGGAAGGCGCAGAGCGUCGCAGACCUCUUUUGCCGGGGGACAAAAGGCCGGACGGGUCCGGUUCUGAGGGUACCCGGAGAAAAAGCAUCGGCUAACUCCGUGCCAGCAGCCGCGGUAAUACGGAGGAUGCGAGCGUUAUCCGGAUUCAUUGGGUUUAAAGGGUGCGCAGGCGGUCUUUUAGGCGGGGGGGGAACCCGGGGGCCCCACCCCCGCCGAGCCGUCGGAACUGGGGGCCUUGAGUGCGGCGGAGGCAUGCGGAAUGCGCGGUGUAGCGGUGAAAUGCAUAGAUAUCGCGCAGAACUCCGAUUGCGAAGGCAGCAUACCGGCGCGCAACUGACGCUCAUGCACGAAAGCGUGGGUAUCGAACAGGAUUAGAUACCCCAGUAC
rnacentral:rRNA from 1 species